rnacentral:rRNA from 1 species
UACGGAGGGUGCAAGCGUUAUUCGGAAUUACUGGGCGUAAAGCGCACGCAGGCGGUUUGUUAAGUCAGAUGUGAAAUCCUCGGGCUCAACCUGAGAACUGCAUCUGAUACUGGCAAGCUUGAGUCUCAUAGAGGGGGGUAGAAUUCCAGGUGUAGCGGUGAAAUGCGUAGAGAUCUGGAAGAAUACCGGUGGCGAAGGCGGGCCCCUGGACGAGGACUGACGCUCAGGUGCGAAAGCGUGGGGAGCAAAAAGG